rnacentral:rRNA from 1 species
GUACACGCUGUGACUAGCAUAUCAAUAAGCGGAGGAAAAGAAACUAACAAGGAUUCCCCUAGUAACGGCGAGUGAAGCGGGAAGAGCUCAUAUUUGAAAUCUUAAAGGGUUUCCCUUUACGAAUUGUAGUUUAAAGAAGUGUUUUCUGUUGAGGUUUUGGUAAAAGUUCUUUGGAAUAGGACAUCAUAGAGGGUGAGAAUCCCGUAUUUGACCUUUACUUUCAACUUUGUGAUACACUUUCAAAGAGUCGGAUUGUUUGGGAAUGCAGUCCAAAAUGGGUGGUAAAUUUCAUCUAAAGCUAGAUAUUGGCGAGAGACCGAUAGCGAACAAGUACCGUGAGGGAAAGAUGAAAAGAACUUUGAAAAGAGAGUUAAACAGUACGUGAAAUUGUCAAAAGGGAAGCGUUUGACACCAGUGUUGUUUUUCUGAAAAUCAAUUAAAGAACUGUUUAUGCUAAGCUGUUUAGACUUUAUCAGCUAACUGUUUAGUUUUGAGCUUUUCUUUAAUGCACUUUUCAGUCUAACAAGUCAACAUCAAUUUCUUUUGCUGUAAAAAAGCUUGAGGAAGGUGGCUUGAGAUUCGUCUUAAGUGUUUAUAGCCUCUUGCCUAUGCAGUCGGAGAGAUUGAGGUCUGCAGCGUAGAUCCUUCGGGGCUAAAUGCAUUUGUGCUAAGUUAUAGCAUUUUAUAGACAACUUGUUGACUAUGAUUUGUCUUGUAGCUUACUCGCUUAUGUUAUUUUACCUACGCUUAGGAUGUUGAUAUGCAUGACUGAUAU